rnacentral:rRNA from 1 species
UACGUAGGUGACCAGCGUUGUCCGGAUUUACUGGGCGUAAAGAGCGCGCAGGCGGUCGUUCAAGUCGAGUGUGAAAGCCCCCGGCUCAACUGGGGAGGGUCAUUCGAUACUGAUCGACUCGAAGGCAGGAGAGGGAAGCGGAAUUCCCGGUGUAGUGGUGAAAUGCGUAGAUAUCGGGAGGAACACCAGUGGCGAAGGCGGCUUCCUGGCCUGUUCUUGACGCUGAGGCGCGAAAGCUAGGGGAGCAAAC